GACGUAGGUGGCGAACGUUAUCCGGAAUUAUUGGGCGUAAAGGGUGCGUAGGCGGCAUGAUAAGUUAUUGGCGGCAAAUCGAGGCUCAACCUCGUGGAAACUAAUAAUACUGUCUUGCUUGAGUGCAGAAGAGGUUAACGGAACUCCAUGUGGAGCGGUAAAAUGUGUAGAUAUAUGGAAGAACAUCAAUAACGGCGAAGGCAGUUAACUAUUCUGUUACUGACGUUGAGGCACGAAAGCGUGGGGAGCAAACAGG
rnacentral:rRNA from 1 species